UACGGAGGAUCCAAGCGUUAUCCGGAUUUAUUGGGUUUAAAGGGUCCGUAGGCGGAUCUUUAAGUCAGUGGUGAAAGCCUGCAGCUUAACUGUGGAAAUGCCAUUGAUACUGGAGAUCUUGAGUGUAGUAGAAGUAGGCGGAAUAGGGCAUGUAGCGGUGAAAUGCAUAGAUAUGCCCUAGAACACCGAUUGCGAAGGCAGCUUACUAUGUUACAACUGACGCUGAGGGACGAAAGCGUGGGGAGCAAACAGGAUUAGAUACCCUGGUAGUCCACGCCGUAAACGAUGAUUACUCGUUGCUGGCGAUAUACAGUCAGUGACCAAGCGAAAGCAUUAAGUAAUCCACCUGGGGAGUACGCCGGCAACGGUG
rnacentral:rRNA from 1 species